rnacentral:tRNA from 1 species
GCUAGGUGUAGCUCAGUGGCAGAGCAUUUGCCAAACAUGAGUGAGGCCCUGGGCUCGAUCCCCAGUACUGCA